rnacentral:lncRNA from 1 species
AAUUGACUUCUCCAUUCCAUCUAAAAUCUCUUCUCUUCUCCUCUCUUUCCCCCUUAGUUAUCAGGAUUUCUUGCUUCUCAGCUCUCUUUGUGCUCUGAGGUUCUGCUGGUUUUGCAUCAGCAAGUAAUUUAGCUAUUCUUUCUCUUUUUUCCUGUUCUUCUCUUGUAGGCUUGUCUCUUUUUUGAGUCCUGGUUUCUGAAUUUUCGAGUCCAAAACAGAAACCCCAGAAAGUCAAAAUCUUGAAACCCCGGAAUUUCUAUUUCUUGCCGUAACUCUGCCAAAAAUAAAUCUUGUUUUAUCAAAAUCUUGAUGCUGCAGAUUUGGAUCUUAAUGUUUGAGGUUCAUGUCUCCAGUAGUCAGUGAAAUCCUCCGGUCAGGGUUUAUGAUCAAUUCCUCUCUCAGACGCAGAACCCACCUUGUCCAAUCUUUCUCAGUUGUGUUUCUUUACUGGUUCUAUGUUUUUUCAUAAGUGAUCUCUCAAUUCUGCCUGGAUUAUAUUAUAUAGUAAUUAGUUAGAAUAUCUAUAUACAAUUAUCUUAACUCUCUGGAUAUUAUUAUCACUACCUGGG